rnacentral:rRNA from 1 species
AUUGAACGCUGGCGGCAUGCUUUACACAUGCGAGUCGAACGGUAACAGCACUUCGGUGGCUGACGAGUGGCGAACGGGUGAGUAAUACAUCGGAACGUGCCUAGUAGUGGGGGAUAACUACUCGAAAGAGUAGCUAAUACCGCAUGAGAUCUAAGGAUGAAAGCAGGGGACCUUCGGGCCUUGCGCUACUAGAGCGGCUGAUGGCAGAUUAGGUAGUUGGUGGGAUAAAAGCUUACCAAGCCGACGAUCUGUAGCUGGUCUGAGAGGACGACCAGCCACACUGGGACUGAGACACGGCCCAGACUCCUACGGGAGGCAGCAGUGGGGAAUUUUGGACAAUGGGCGCAAGCCUGAUCCAGCAAUGCCGCGUGCAGGAUGAAGGCCUUCGGGUUGUAAACUGCUUUUGUACGGAACGAAAAGCCCUCUUCUAAUACAGGAGGGUCAUGACGGUACCGUAAGAAUAAGCACCGGCUAACUACGUG